rnacentral:rRNA from 1 species
UACGUAGGGGGCUAGCGUUGUCCGGAAUCAUUGGGCGUAAAGAGCGUGUAGGCGGUCCGGUAAGUCCGCUGUGAAAGUCGGGGGCUCAACCCUCGAAUGCCGGUGGAUACUGUCGGGCUAGAGUACGGAAGAGGCGAGUGGAAUUCCUGGUGUAGCGGUGAAAUGCGCAGAUAUCAGGAGGAACACCUAUUGCGAAGGCAGCUCGCUGGGACGUAACUGACGCUGAGACGCGACAGCGUGGGGAGCAAACAGG